AAGUUCCCUUUAUUUUUUUUUUCUUUUUCCUUCUUCAAUUUGCAGAGAACUUCUAAGAGAGAGUUUGGAAGAAGAAGAGAAAUUUUACUAGAAUUUUGAGGUUGAAGAAGAGGAGAAGAACUCAAGCAAAGUGUAUCAAUGGCUGAAUUUUAGUUCAUUCUGCACAUCACUGGUUUUUAAUUCGGUUUGAACUCUUCAAAAGGAAUUAAGAGGGCAGUUGGUUUUCACUCGAAAUCAGGAGGUCUCUAGGUUUUCUUGUAUUUCAGAGUGUAUCGGUGGAGUUAGAAUCUCUAUUUGGAACAAGUUAAAGAGGUCGUGUGCGCGCGAUUCUGAAAGUGGUUCUGUUUUGAGGGUUAUAUGUGUUUAUGCACGGGGAAUCAGAUUUAUAUGUCUUCAGGCCGAGAAGAAUUAAACCGAGCUUAUAGACCAAGGAUCUAGCCCAAGACUGUAGAGAUCGACUUCCCGGUGCCUGAUAGAUUGCCUUAGUCUGCGGAAGCUUCAUUAUCGAUUGCCAGUACUUGUUUUGAGUUGGGCAUAAAGUCUGUUGUGUUGUGAUGUAUUCACACCCUUGUAUGUUAUUGAUACUCCACAGUUUGUAUAAGCUUUAGGAGCUGUAGUUGUGUAAAUUUUGUUGGUUAUAUUUUGAUUAAGGUGUCUUUAGGUUUACUCGUGAAAUCGGUAAAUUUUGAGGUACACUUCAUGUAUGUGUUUGACUAGCUGUGUUUGACUAGCCUAGGAUCCGCUGUGUUUUGUGGCAUGUACAAUAGUUUAUAUACUAGAUUGGCAAGUUCAUCACAUGAAAGUUUUAAGCAGAGUCGACGAUACAGGUAUAGAAAAACGUUGUUCGUCGGCUUCACGCCAUCUUUCGGUCUAAGGUAGCAGGUAGUCCGAGAAGGGGUGUGACAAAAGCUCAAUUUGAUCGUCAAGUAUGUAAGCUCAGGAAGACUUUGUACAGUUUGAAAAAAUUCCCAAUAGCGUGGUUCAACAUGUUUACUACAUUUGUUAAGUCCCAAGAAGAUGAUACAGUUGAGAUCACCUGGCUAAAAAGAAAAUGUCCUUGGAAUGGAGGUGACAAGAUCAAGGGAGGGAUCUUUAUCUCACAACGCAAAUACACCAUUGACCGGUUAAAAUAAACAGGUAAAGGUCUGAUGUCCAAGAAAACUUAAAGGAAAUGCAUUGAGACUUAUGCCGGACUUCGAUUGGGCAGGAUCGAUUAUUGACAACAAAUCUACCUCUGAGCAUUAUACCUUGGAGAAGUAAGAAGCAAAGUGUUGUUGUUAGAAGCAUUAUUGAAGCUGAAUAGCUAUGAGUUUGGGAAUCUGUGAAGAAAUCUGGUAGAAGGAAGUUUUGGGUGAUCUUCUUCAAGAUAGUGUUUUACCUGUGAACCUUUACUGUGGUAAAAAGGCGCUUAUGAGCAUAGUCAAUUGUUAUAAUAUGUGUUUAUAUUCUAAUUAUGUAUAGUCACCCUUCACUGUAAUUUUACAUUUCCUAAAUUAGGGUUUUUUAGUUGCCUAUAUAUAUGUAUCUUCCCUUUUAUUAGAGAAUAAGAUCAUUAUAUUCUCCACAAGUACAAAGUACAUGGUAUCAGAGCAUCUAGAGUUUGGAAAUAUUAGUUUGACCACUUCACUCUCCAUUAGGGUUUAAAUUUAGGUCAUCUUCGAGUGGUUGUUUGUCAAUACCGCCCAUCUCAAGAGGAGCACCAUCGUCCUCCUCCUAAGUCUGUCUCUAUGAUGAGUAUUCUGUCUCUUCACAUUGGCGUGUGAGAGCGCGUGGAAGCUACAUUUUUGUUUUCAUCCAUUGAGUUCAUCUCAGUUUGCAUUUUUCGACAAGUCUAUGCAUUUGGUAUCGUUGAAAUCUACUCAGGGUGUGAAGUUAUUCGAAAAUAUCCUCUUGUGCUUAGGGUUUGUUCUUGUUUUUGUAUCAAUUUGGAGUUGUUAUGCUUUUCAGUUUAACCUUGAUUUCAUUUUUUAUUUGUUAUUUUUCACUUGUGACAUCUACAACCUAUUGGUUAGCUUGUAA